GGCUGUGUGGUUUAGUGGUAUGAUUCUCGUUUUGGGUGCAAGAGGUCCCGGAUUCGAUUCUCGUCUCAGCCC